CAUGGCUCAGUCGGUAGAGCGUCGGCUUAAGAAGCCAAAGGUCGUUGGUUGGAGUCUUCCCAU
rnacentral:tRNA from 12 species